UUUUCAUGGCUCCAUACUGUAGAUCCGAUCAACAAAAAAUGAAGGCAAAUCCAAAAGUUGCACCUUAUAGGAAAAGAAUUACUACUAAUGAGAAUUGGGAUGAUAUUUGUACUCCUUUCUCUCAAGAUCGUGCAGAUGGUCAAGGGUCGAAAACAUUUCAAGAAAAAUAUUAAUGAGGUUGACAUUGAGGUUGAUUCUCCUACCAUUGGAGAAUCACUUGAUAUGAAUGUUGAAGAAGAUAAUGCUAUGAGAGAUUUGUUUAUGAAGAACAGUAGUACCUUUUUUAUUAUUGUUCCUUUACCACUUGAGCAGGAUGCAAAUACUACUAAUUUUAUGUC